ensembl:lncRNA
GGGAGCACAGCCCCGAGUCUGAGGCACAGUCCCAAGACAGCCUCGCUGCCAGCGGCUGCCUGAUGGAACCACGUAUGCUGGCAGCAGCCUAAUGAGCUGCCCUUAAGAUGUGUGCUGCGGAGGGAAAUGACAUUCAGAGUCCAACCUGGCUCUUUCUCCCUCACUGCCAGCUUCCACUCAUGAGUCAGGAGACUUCAGUUCUUCACACCCAGAGCUGACUGUGGGGUGGCCAAAGUCACUUCUCCACCAUCUCCAUUUUGGAUGCUACUAGGAUGAACUGGAAUCAAAACUAAAAGCAAGACGUUCACCAACAGUUAACUUGUAUUUAAUAGAAAACUGGACAGGAUCGUAUCCCCAGCUUGCUUGCUUUCUUCUUUCUUUCUCUCUU